UAGGGAAUCUUCGGCAAUGGACGGAAGUCUGACCGAGCAACGCCGCGUGAGUGAAGAAGGUUUUCGGAUCGUAAAGCUCUGUUGUUAGAGAAGAACGUUGGUAGGAGUGGAAAAUCUACCAAGUGACGGUAACUAACCAGAAAGGGACGGCUAACUACGUGCCAGCAGCCGCGGUAAUACGUAGGUCCCGAGCGUUGUCCGGAUUUAUUGGGCGUAAAGCGAGCGCAGGCGGUUCUUUAAGUCUGAAGUUAAAGGCAGUGGCUUAACCAUUGUACGCUUUGGAAACUGGAGGAAUGGAGUGCAGAAGGGGAGAGUGGAAUUCCAUGUGUAGCGGUGAAAUGCGUAGAUAUAUGGAGGAACACCGGUGGCGAAAGCGGAUCUCUGGUCUGUAACUGACGCUGAGGCUCGAAAGCGUGGGGAGCAAACAGG
rnacentral:rRNA from 1 species